rnacentral:rRNA from 1 species
AUUGAACGCUGGCGGCGUGCUUAACACAUGCAAGUCGAGCGGUAACAGGCGUAGCAAUACGUGCUGACGAGCGGCGAACGGGUGCGUAAUACAUGGGAAUCUGCCCUUUGGUGGGGAAUAACCCGGCGAAAGCCGGGCUAAUGCCGCAUAAGAUCUUCGGAUGAAAGCGGGGGAUCGUAAGACCUCGCGCCGAUGGAUGAGCCCAUGUCGGAUUAGCUAGUUGGUGAGGUAACGGCUCACCAAGGCGACGAUCCGUAGCUGGUCUGAGAGGACGGCCAGCCACACUGGGACUGAGACACGGCCCAGACUCCUACGGGAGGCAGCAGUGGGGAAUAUUGGACAAUGGGCGAAAGCCUGAUCCAGCGACGCCGCGUGUGUGAAGAAGGCCUGCGGGUUGUAAAGCACUUUCGAUGGGAACGAAAUGUGCCGGGUUAACACCCCGGCAAGCUGACGUUACUCAAUGAAGAAGCACCGGCUAACUCUGUGCCAGCCGCCGCCGUAAUAC